GAAAUCAAGCUGUCCCAGUGCAGUUGAAUUUUAAGAGUUAAAAUGCCCCAUAGAUCAAUGAAAACAAGAAAAUUCAGCCCAAAUUCACGUAAGAGACGGGGCACGUUAAUAGAGGCUAGCAAAACCAGAAGUCUUAAUAGCAGCUACUCCACAGAGGCACAGACUAUAUUAAUUGCACAGGUCAUAGAGGAUCAAGCAACACACAAGAACAGUUCAACAAUUAAACAUAGCCCACAAGUCUAGACAAGUACAGAUGCAUCCCCUCACAUCAAACUUAAUAAGAGUAGAAGAAAUCCAUUUUUUUUUCCAGAAUUUAUCCCUCCAUUAGUUGAAACACACACCUCGGUUCCAGAGGCAGCUUGACAUGAAUUAUCACACCUCUAAACAUCAACUGCACAACAUAUAAGAAUAUGACGCGGACAAAACCAAUUAGCAGCACAUGCAAUCAAGAAGACAAUCAACAUCAAGCAAGCCCCAUUGCAACGUGUGGAUAGUGCUGCAACUACUCACUUAUCUAUUUUCAGUUGAAUAGCAAAGGAAGCACUUUCGGUCCAGGAAGAUCGAAAAAGCACUUCAAAUAGAAGUCAGCAGCAGAUCUUUUGUUAGUGCUUUUGCCAUCAUCAAAGUCGACUUCAAAAUAGUUAACAUAAUCAACACAUUCUUUAUUACUUUUCUUGUUAACAUAAUCAACACAUUCU
rnacentral:lncRNA from 1 species